GUCCCGUUACUGUUUGUCAUCUACAUCAAUGAUUUGGAUGAGAACCUACAGGGCAAGAUUAGCAAGUUAGCCGAUGAAACAAAAGUGAGUGGAUUUGCAGAUAGUGAAGAUUGUUGUGAAAGAUUGUAGCAGGAUCUGGCUCGAUUGGCCAGGUGGGCGGAGGAGUGGUUGAUGGAAUUUAAUACAGAGAAGUGUGAGGCGUUGCAUUUUGUGACGUCGUACAAGGCAAGGACAUACACAGUGAAU